CCCGCACAAGCGGUGGAGCAUGUGGUUAAUUCGAUGAUACGCGAGGAACCUUACCAGGGCUUAAAUGUAGGUUGCAUUAGACAGAGAUGUUUAUUCUUCGGACUACUUACAAGGUGCUGCAUGGUUGUCGUCAGCUCGUGCCGUGAGGUGUCAGGUUAAGUCCUAUAACGAGCGCAACCCCUGUCGUUAGUUGCCAGCAUGUAAAGAUGGGGACUCUAACGAGACUGCCGGUGCAAACCGCGAGGAAGGUGGGGAUGACGUCAAAUCAUCACGGCCCUUACGUCCUGGGCUACACACGUGCUACAAUGGGUGGUACAAAGAGAAGCCAACUCGCGAGAGCGCGCCAAUCUCAAAAAGCCAUCCUCAGUUCGGAUUGGAGUCUGCAACUCGACUCCAUGAAGUUGGAAUCGCUAGUAAUCGCGGAUCAGCAUGCCGCGGUGAAUACGUUCCCGGGCCUU
rnacentral:rRNA from 1 species